ACCAGACUCCUACGGGAGGCAGCAGUGGGGAAUAUUGCACAAUGGGGGAAACCCUGAUGCAGCGACGCCGCGUGAGUGAAGAAGUAUUUCGGUAUGUAAAGCUCUAUCAGCAGGGAAGAAAAUGACGGUACCUGACUAAGAAGCCCCGGCUAACUACGUGCCAGCAGCCGCGGUAAUACGUAGGGGGCAAGCGUUAUCCGGAUUUACUGGGUGUAAAGGGAGCGUAGACGGCAUGGCAAGUCAGAUGUGAAAGCCCGGGGCUCAACCCCGGGACUGCAUUUGAAACUGUCAGGCUGGAGUGCAGGAGAGGUAAGUGGAAUUCCUAGUGUAGCGGUGAAAUGCGUAGAUAUUAGGAGGAACACCAGUGGCGAAGGCGGCCUGCUGGGCUUUAACUGACGCUGAGGCUCGAAAGCGUGGGGAGCAAACAGGAUUAGAUACCCUUGUAA
rnacentral:rRNA from 1 species